rnacentral:rRNA from 1 species
AGAGUUUGAUCCUGGCUCAGAAUCAACGCUGGCGGCGUGCCUAACACAUGCAAGUCGAACGAGAAAGCGGGGGCAACCCUGCGAGUACAGUGGCAGACGGGUGAGUAACACGUGAACAACCUACCCUUGAGUGGGGAAUAACACCGCGAAAGCGGUGCUAAUACCGCAUAACAUCUUUGGGUCGCAUGACUUGGAGAUCAAAAGCGCAAGUUGCUUGAGGAGGGGUUCGCGGCUGAUUAGCUAGUUGGUGAGGUAACGGCCCACCAAGGCAACGAUCAGUAGCCGGCCUGAGAGGGCGAACGGCCACACUGGAACUGAGACACGGUCCAGACUCCUACGGGAGGCAGCAGUGGGGAAUUUUGCGCAAUGGGCGAAAGCCUGACGCAGCAACGCCGCGUGGAGGAUGAAGGCCUUCGGGUCGUAAACUCCUGUCGAUGGGGACGAAAGCCUCGCAAGAGGAUUGACUGUACCCGUUGAGGAAGCCACGGCUAACUCCGUGCCAGCAGCCGCGGUAAUACGGGGGUGGCAAGCGUUGUUCGGAAUUACUGGGCGUAAAGGGCGCGUAGGCGGCAUAGCAAGUCAGAUGUGAAAGCCCCGAGCUCAACUCGGGAAUUGCAUCUGAAACUGCUGUGCUUGAGUCCUGGAGGGGGUAGUGGAAUUCCCAGUGUAGCGGUGAAAUGCGUAGAUAUUGGGAGGAACACCUGCGGCGAAGGCGGCUACCUGGACAGUGACUGACGCUGAGGCGCGAAAGCUAGGGGAGCGAACGGGGAUUAGAUACCCCGGUAGUCCUAGCCGUAAAC